CGUUUUGCUGAACAUGGUUACGGGCUACGAUAAGAAUACCACGUCGAUAUCGUAUAAAGUUAUCCACUAUCAUUCGUAAGUGACCACGAUUGUCUAUGCCUAGAGUUUAUGAAAAAUCCAUUUAAUGCCUGGCUUUAUUAAAAUGUCGGACGUGUGUCGGACGAUGUUUGAAAACGAAUAGUUAGUUUUAUUACUACACUUCCAAAUUGAAAAAUGUUUAAAUGAGUGACAGCUUUAUACAAAUUGACUUACAUUAUAACAUGCACGGAUAAUCGUGUUUUCUCAACUGACAAUUCACUUGACAUUGACAAGCAUCGCGUACGCGCAUGAUUCAGUGAAUUUAGUGAAAAUACAAACCAAGUCGAAGAAAAAUACUGAUUUGCUGUGUAAACUAAAGGAAAUGCCACCCAAAAUUCGAUGCUUCGGCGCACAAGAAAAUGCUAGCCAAAUAUAUAACUCAGCAUCCCCUGUUCGCCUACACCUACAGGGAGAUUCAUGAGCCUCUCGGAACCCAGAGAUACAAAAUGCAAUGGUGCAGCAUGUGCACACAAGUUCUAAGAUCUAGAAGAAAGGAUUGAAGAUUCAUAACAUAUUGGAGGCUUGAAAGUGCACAUACCCAUAGAUUGGACGUUAAGCUCAACGAGACCAUGCGAUGCAUCUCAGGCACUAUCCGAUCUACAACCGCCACUGGCUGCCGGCAUUGAGUCACAUUGCCCCUCCUCACAUCCGACGACUCAAGGCGUUGAAGAGGGAGGCUGAGAAUAUCACGAAUAACCCCACAAUGCCUGUCCACGAGGAAUUCUGCCGCCCGACUGCCCGCCGACCCUGUGCUACAGCUGGGAGCCUGAGCAGCUUUAAUAUUUCGGAUAGGUGGAUAGCGGAAUGGUCAGCUUCGGCAGCUCGGAGUUGCUGUAUAUCUGACCCAACUAAAAAACCAAAAGGGUUUGACCUUCCUCGGAAAAUCUGGUGCCGCCUGAGAACCGGACAUGGCCGCUGCAAUUCAGCCACACAAAUGGAGAUAGACGGCUUUCCCACUUUGCGAAUGCAGAAUGCAGACCACUUAGCAUAUCUUCCAACGCUGCCCACUCCACUCCUCCUCCACUCCUGGGCCUGUUGAGGACCUGAAGACCGUGACACCUGACUUGGUUGCUUGGCUU